GAUUCGCCUUUCUGCAAAAUCCAUGCCACGAGUCUCCUGAAACUUGAAAGAAAAGUGUUAAAACAGGAUCGAGAUGAUCCUUGAUACCCACUGCCUAAAGCAGCCCUACUGGCAUGAGCUCAUUCCUUCUUCUAACUUCUUUGAAGCAUUUCAGGUGACAGAAGACCUGCUUGAACCCAGGAAGUGGAGGUUGCAGUGAGCUGAGAUUUUGCCACUGCACUCCAGCCUGGGUGACGGGAGCAAGACUGUGUCUCAAAAAAAAGAUAUUGUACCACUUGUAUUCAGAGGAAUGAAUGUAUUUUGGUAAAAAUGACUUUUGACCAGUUUCUGGUUGUGGCCAGCAAUCCUUGGCUUGUAGACACAUCACUCUAAUCUCUGUGU
rnacentral:lncRNA from 1 species